rnacentral:rRNA from 1 species
UACGGAGGGGGCUAGCGUUGUUCGGAAUUACUGGGCGCAAAGCGCGCGUAGGCGGACCUGCAAGUCGGGGGUGAAAGCCCGAGGCUCAACCUCGGAACUGCCUUCGAUACUGCGGGUCUCGAGUCCGGGAGAGGUGAGUGGAAUUCCUAGUGUAGAGGUGAAAUUCGUAGAUAUUAGGAAGAACACCAGUGGCGAAGGCGGCUCACUGGCCCGGUACUGACGCUGAGGCGCGAAAGCGUGGGGAGCAAACAGG